GUUUUACAAUUUUUCACUAAAGUAUACGUAUUUCUAAUAAUCCAAAUCUUUUUUGCUUUUUUAAUUAGAAGCAAACUAUUGGAAUUUAAAGGAAAAUAACUUUGCGGAAGUAAAUAUUUUGUGUUUUCCUCAACGGGAUUCGAACUCAUGCUAUUGUGACAACUCCGCAUGCACUGUGUCCAGCGCUCUACACCACUCGGCC
rnacentral:lncRNA from 1 species